UGAACAGUUGAAGAAGUAAUCUAGGAAGGAACAAUCAUCAUGGGUUGCUGUCUGGGAAUAAGGCGGCGUUCUGCAAAACAAACUGAGGUGGAGAGCCUGGAGACCCGUUAUCAACGAUUUUCAAGGAACAGGGACACCGACACGACACUCGCGGUCACGAAACCUAUAUGUAUGGUUCACGAUAGCAUGGUUUGGAAUGGAGAUAGCUCAACGGCACUCGAAUUUUACGAACUGCGGCAUGCCAUCUUGAGCUUGGAUAACGAAACAGCCGCCUAGAACAAGACGACGAAGAAGCGCAAGUAUUGCCAGACAGACGGUUUGUUUUUCCCAGUGCUACACGAUGACUCUUGACCGGCAGUCUGUUUGGUGGAUAAUUGAUCAUCAGCCUGAUAUUCCAUUCAUGUAUGUUGACUCCUGAUAAGAAGUCUGUUUUCUCGAAUGUCUUUAGCUUACUAUGGUUGUUGCAAUUACAUUGCGUUCCUGGCUUUGCUACAAGCAUCACCACUCUCAUCUGAUCUAACAACACACCGUGCAGGCCGUCUCAUUGUCAUUGAUCCUAUUCUUCGUUUAUUUCACCGAUAUCCUUAUGUGAAAAGUGUUCUUGACCCUUCAAUUAUGUGCAUCUUGAUUUUGCCUCGUCUCACGCUGCUGAUAUACAUUGUGCUACGCUUCGGUGACGUCAUAUUGCCACUUACUGACGCUUCUAUCAUCAUGAUGUUCACGAGGUACUAGG